ensembl:snRNA U1 U1 spliceosomal RNA
AUACUUAUCUGGCAGGGGAGAUACCAUGAUCUGGAAGGUGGUUUUCCAAGGGUAAGGUUUGCCCCUUGCACUCCAGGCAUGCUAACACCUGUGAUUUCCCCAAAUGCAGGAAAAUGAACUGCAUAAUUUGUGGUAGUGGGGGACUGCGUGUGUACUUUCUUUUU